rnacentral:rRNA from 1 species
UCCUUGUCGGGUAAGUUCCGACCCGCACGAAUGGCGUAACGAUCUCCCCACUGUCUCCAACAUAAACUCAGUGAAAUUGAAUUCUCCGUGAAGAUGCGGAGUACCCGUGGCUAGACGGAAAGACCCCGUGCACCUUUACUACAGCUUUACAGUGGUAUUAGGGUGUUCAUGUGUAGGAUAGGUGGGAGUCACCGAAGCUUUGGCGCUAGUUGAAGUGGAG